rnacentral:lncRNA from 1 species
GAAGGCCUGUCAUGAGAUUUGAAUUUGACCAUCUUGUGCAUUUAUGAAGAAGACCAAAAGCUGCAAAGGCAAACACUUCCAAUGGAUUUCUCACAGAUUACUUAAUCAUUCUUCAUCAGCUCUUCACAAUAUCAGCCCAUUCAAAAGCUUCCAGAUCUUCCUCUCUUGUGUGACACAUCUGCUCUCAGUCCUUUACUGCCAACCUCUACAUUCAUCACUCCAAUCUCUACUAUAAGCACUCCUGUAUAUAUAUAUAUAUAUAUAUACACAUAAUAAUAAUUAUUAUUAUUAACCAUUUAUUUGUUUUGCAUUUAUUCACAAUAGAAGCAAACAAUGAUUACAGGAUAUAUGUUUUUAAAGGUGAUAAUUGUAAAAUAUUGGAGCAUUGUUCUUAAUCAUUUUUGCCUAUUUGGUUGAUAAAGGGAAGAAAACAAUAUAUUUUCAACUGUAGCCUUGAUUAUUCUUUGGCAUCUUUUGUCAGGAUUUCUGUAAACAAAUUCCCUUUUUAUUUUUGAAUAUUAAACUUAUGUUUUUUGAAGGGAGUUUCUGUUGCAAUUGUGUUUGUUUGUUUUCACUUAGUUACCUCUAUGCAUUUUUUUUUAUCAACUUUUCUUUUUUUCAUAGUGGAAUAAACUGGAGAGAGACUGUUCUGGGCACUAUGUUUAUCUGCGAAAAGUUUGACAUAUCAAUAAACACUGUAAAAUGACUAGACAAUGAGUGAUUGAUGUCAUGAUGUUUGUUUGUUUGUUUUCUAUUCCUAUAGUUCAACUGGUGGAUCUAAGAAUGGCAAGUUUUUAGGGUCCAUUUCCAUGAAACGUAGAUGUGAUAAAUUGUUUACCUUUAAUACACUAUAAAUACAUUGUAAAUAUUACAGAAGGAAAAUUGAGUAGUAGAAAAAUAUUGUGUUUAAAUAAUCUUCAGAGGUGUUUUUUUUUUGAGCAAAUGAAACAUUUUGACAUUUAUUUUUCACACAGUAUAUGCAAACUUUUGAGUUUAAGUACUGUACACUAAUAUUAGUGUAAACAAUGUAGCCUAUUCAAUACAAUGGGAAUCAUUAUACCUUCGUUAAAACACAAAACAAAAAAAACACCUUUAAUCAACGUAUUUCUUGCUGCAUCAGGGUAACUGCAGCUUCUGUCCAUUCACUACAGGAACCCGGAAGCUCCCGGCAUAAUUGACCAUAUAUGUACAAGUUAGUGUGACGCCUCUGCUCAACUGGGUUGCCAUUGGCUUUGACGUUCCCUUGGCUCUCGCAGAACUCGCUGUGAUUGGACUAUCUUUUAACCCAAAUUAUAAACCGCUUAAUGUUGCAAAGUCCGUUUGACUGUAAUUAUUACGUCAGUAACACCUUCAGUUAACAAUGCAGUGUUGCUAUGUCGUGAGAAAUUACCUCUUUACCGAAAUCGUAACCCUAACCCUAAGCACAAGUCCAAUAAACUCCAAAUACCAGCGCUAAUAUUACUCGCGUUCAAACGAUAGAAUGGCAGAGGCUUAUGGGUAAUGUAGUUUAAAAUGUUUAAUAAUUUAAAAAAUGGGAAAAUGCAAUCUUUUUUAACAAAGGGUCAUCUAAACAUGUUCAUUGUGUAAACAUUAAUGACAUAUUUAAGAGGCAGGCUGAAAUUCGAUAUUUUACUAAGUGCACUUUUUUAAACACUUUUAUACCACCUUUCCAUAUAUGUUUGAAAACUCUGUCCAACAUUAUUUAAUUAGCAUAGCAUAAGUAGUUGUCCUGCCAAUUUUUUCUUUGACACUAUAAUCAGACUUUGAUUUACAGCCAUUUGAAAUUUACAUUUUUUUGCUCUUCUAAGGGACUCUACUGGGCCCUUGAAGAUGGAAGGGCAGUAAAACAUACACAUACCUUUUCUUAUCAUGGACAACAGACUGUGCUGAGUCAUAAUUUUUAAGUUUUUCUUUUCAACAAAUUGCCAAUAUGUAAGUUGUAAGUCAUGUUUAUCUUAGAAUAAGAAUAGAACCAUAAAAAUAUACAUCAGUGCCUAUUUGGAAUAGGCUCCAAAUAUUGAAUUAUAUCAGGUGCAAGGAUACAGUAUUGAAAGUAAACAAAGACACCAAUUUAAACAACCAAUACAUACUGUGACACUUCAUUGUACUUUUACAGUGUCAAUGUGUCAUUCAGUAAGACAAGGUACAGAGAGUGUGUAGUUUAUAGUGCAAAGCCAUACAAUUCAUGCAAUGCAAAGAAUCAUAAUAUUAAGAGCUAAUUUGUGUCUCUGUGUAAAAUACUCCUCAUAUCUGUCCUCCUCGGGUACUAAACAUCAGUAAUGUGCAUGCUCAUCUUGCUUAUUAUACAGUACUGGAUUCAUGUUGAUCUUUCCCUUGUCCAUCACCUUCAGUUGUGCAUGAAAUUCCUGCAGCAUUAUAGUCCAUGCAGUAUCUUCUAAUGCAGCUUUCAGCCUGCCCUUCAUCUAACUGAAUGUCAUUAAUGUAACCAAAUGUUCAUUUCUUAAUUAAAACACAUUUAUCUAUUGUUUACAAAAUUAAAUGGUGUAUUUACCAAACACCAUUCUUAAUAUAGAAUAUUCACCCUACUUUAUUAUCCAACACCAUGUGCAGUACUUUACUGGAGGAUACAACAUAAAGACAACUAAAGUAGUGUAUUAAGACAAAUGAUAUACAAUUUUUAACAAUAUUAAAAAUGGGUUAUGUUAACACCAUGUUUUUCUAAUCAGAUGAAGCCAUGCAAAUGCAUGCAUGGUGAAAUGUCUUGAGCCCCAAAGAAUCACAUCAAGUUUUUAGAGCUCUCC